GCUUUUUUUUCUAAAAAAUGUAAAAAAAAAAAAAAAAAAAAAAAAAAAAAAUCAAUAGUAUAGCAUGUUAGGUAUGUUAGGAAUGUUAGCCAAGUAUAGUGCGUGAUGAAAAGAUUUCGUGAUAAGUCAGGAUGUUAGG